AACUUUCUCAUUACGGCAUUUACUGUACGUGGUUAAUGCUUUUAUGCAUUGUCCUAAAGGUUUCAUGUGUUUACAGUGUAUAGCAGCAAGUUCACUAUAAAAUGUCAGUAGUGCUGAUGUGAGAAAGCACAGUCAACUUCAGAGCAGUAUUCAAGCAUGUCUAGGAUGACAAUCACUCCAAAACCAAAUUCAUACAGCAGUCGCUGUGUUGCAGGGUGCAAUACCUGAUCUUGUGCACACUUCACUCAGGAAUUCUGACUUGGGGGGCGAAUCCUGAUAAUGCCUGUGGGGACUAGGCUGAGAAGUGAGGAUUUGCCUGAGCAGAGGUUGCGGGCUCGGCGUCACGUUGAUUGUAACACCCUUGGCUUUGGCAGCGCUGUGCUUUCAUAGAAGCUCUGCCACAUCAAGGACCAUUAGCCUUAUAGCGAAGAAACCUGCCCUUCAUGCUGCUGCUGUGGACUCUUCAAUUUCGUGAGAAGCUGUUCUGUUACAGGUGUUUAAAACACAAGUUUUCUGUUUUCAGUUGUGUGUCAGAGGGGUCUGACAGUUUAAUUGGCAGAGUCUGGGUUUCAAGAUCUGUGUGAAUGUUCCCUUUUCUGUGGGAGGAAAAAGUUAAUUUUCUUAUGUUCUGAUUAGUCUUAUUUUAAAAGGAAAAUGCUGGAAGAAGGCAAACUUAAGCCAGAUGGAGUCAAAUACUCAGCACUCUGAGAAAGUGGACUUCUGUGAAUGAUAUUGCUGACCUUAAUACUAGACAAUUGUCUUCUUUAGAGUAAAUAUAUUUAUUUUUUUGUAAAUUAAGACUCUGAGUAGACUGAGAUUUUCUUUGGUAUUUUUUGUAAUGACGAUACAAAUAUUUGCAAAGAAAAUGCAGUAAAAAAAAUUGUUUGGAAGUUAACAUGAUGUGUCAUCUCUUGCUUUGUGUUUGACAAAGGGUUAGCUUCUGUAGUUCAGGUAAUUACUGGUACUGCUUAGACUAGCCAAGCUGCUGGGCCUGAUGUCUGGGGGCUGUUAGGGUGGGUAAGAAACCUGGAGUGCAAAUGACAGUGUGCUGCGACAGGGCUGGAUCACAUCUCAGGGAUUGUCUUGUAAUUUCAGUACUGCAGUUUGUUGGGCAGACCAGGUUAUAACAAUGCACCAGCAGAGCAGAAUUCAGUGGUGCUGCAGACCUUUUGUCAUACCCACGGUGUCCAUGGCCUGUGCCUUGCCACAUUUCUGGGGCAGCUUCUUGUCAGUUUCCCCCAUGGAAAUGAAAUGAGCAAGGGGGUGGUGGAGGAAUCUGGGGAGGAGCAGUGGGUUUUGGACUUUCAAAUUGCCCAACACUUGUGCAGCAUUGUGAUGGACAGAAAGGUGGAAAGGUUUGAGCAAACCAUAAAGAACAGGUUACAGAGCAGGGAAACGAGCUUGUCAAAUACGGUGUGUGGCUGGUAUUGCUUUACUCAGCUGCAUUAAAAUGGAGACAUAUAUCUGCAGAGGAGACCCGGAGGAGGAACUGUGAUACCACCAUGAGACCUUUCUUGCUUGGGGUCAGUCAUCCUCUAGGAACACUGUGAACCUUCCGCUUCCACCCCCUCCUAGGAGAGCUCUGGGAAGGAACAGGGAGAGGGUCCGCUGGCAUUGGUCAACAAGACAGCCAGGCUCCCUGUGCUCUCUCCUUGCCUGUCCAAACUAGUUACCACCAACACCACCUUCUAGGCAGAGCUGCGGAGAACUUCCAGUGAAGAAAUUCAGACAGGAUUCAAAUACCUUUGAAAACCUUGUGGGUUUAGUGCAGCUCGUUACUGAGCUGGGGACUCUACAAGUACUCUGCAGGUUUGGCGUUGAAUUCAAAGUUCUGUUGCUGGAGUUCCUCUGUGGAAAUCGAUUCCGGAUUCAAGGAAAUUAUGCUUUCCGUUGCACACAGACAAACAGAGAUUUACAAGCAUUAACAUAUGCAUGUGAGUAAAUCCUUGGAAAACAAUGUAACUGCACUUGGAAGCAUGGUUUGAAACGGAGCUUGCAGAAUGACACUUCUGCUGUGUAAAGUGGAGAUGUCUGUGUAGGAAUGACUUAAACUGCGCUUGCAGUCUCAAACUGGGUACACUGGAAAGUGUCACUGGAUGUUUUCUGUCCUACUCAUGGGCUGUUUGCCAUCAUUUGGGGAACUGCAAAUUUUUGUGUCCAAAAUGCUGUAUUUUGCAGGAUAACCUAAAUAUUGCAGCAAGGGAUCAGAUGUCUGCUCUUGAUGCGUGCCUCAGUCUUGUUCUUGUUCAGUGAUGUGGUUGUUAAUAUGCAUCGCUGUGUUCUCCCAGUUUUACGUAUUUACACACUUGCUAGCACGAGCUGUUCUGCCCCAGCUCUGGAGUAGGUACUCUUUUCUGUUUGCUCUAAAUACCUGUCAUUGCUUUGUGUUAUUGCUGCAUUGAUUUAUGAUCCUGGUUCCAAAUGUCUGCCCUCAUAAAAAUGAUUAAUACCUUGGCUGGAUGUAACAUGAACAAAAUUGUGUUAAUGCAUGACCAGGAUAGUCCGAACUAACCUUAACUUUACACAGGGGUAGCUGAACAAAUGCAGCUUUCUUCCACAGAACCUCUGUGUAUGAGCAGUGUCAUAUAGGUACUUCAGGUCCCUUGAGUGGGAGUGGUAUAGUUGUGAGGUCCUGUUUCAGGUAGGAAAGAGAGGGCCAUAUGCUGAUCCCUGCAUGCAGGGUUACUGGAACCAACUGCAGAAAAUGAUACAACUUGCUGCAAGGUAAACUAAUGCCAGCUCUGAAGGACAGCAUGUGAGAGAGGAGUGGGUACCGUCCUGAGUGUGUGUAUUGCAGCGAGCAGCUUAGUCCUUGGGAAGGAGGUCCUUGCCUGGUGGAGAGGUAAUUAUCUGCUCACCAGGAGGAUCUUUGUUGCUGGUAGUCUUGUUCUUCUGGAG